UGAAGGCUUUAUGCCUAGCAGUAGACCCACAGAGGUGGGAGACAAGCUUAAUGCCAGGGCCUACUGCUGCUUACAGCCUGGGGCAGUUUAUAGGCCUGUGCAGGAGGAGUCUGGUGGGGGGAUAGCCUGCUGCCUGGGAAAAUGCUGAUUAUGCAUUCACAGGCGAAGUUGUUCUAGCUGUUGUUCCGGCUGAAUGUGAUGUUCCUUGCACUUUUGUACUUUCUCCCAGCAGGAUAUGAUAAGAGGCAGGCUAUUUCUUAUGGCCCAAACCCCCCAUGGAAUGUCUCACUUUGACCAAGCUCUGAGAAAUGGUGAUGGGGUAGGCUUACAAAGUGGUGUUGUUUGGACUAACAUUCUUGCUUUCUAUUUUAAUAUAAAAGGAAAAGGGGGCAUUGUUGAUUAUCUGGCUGCUUCCUGCUGAAUAGGGGUGCUGUUAUCGGGGUUGGGGUUUUGAAGUAGUGGGUGUCCAACUUCAGAGUUGUUUUCCUGGAGGCACUGUUAUGGAACUUGGUGGAGGAGAAGAAUGGCAUCAGUGUGUUUCUGGGUGGUUGCCUGGACAAGGGAGUUCAGCCUUUGAGGGAUAAAGCAGGAUAUGAAGGUGAGUACACAUGGGCCAAGAAGUGUUUUAUGGAAACGGGAUUGUAACAUGUUUAGUUUAGAGGUUAUAAGGCAAAGGAGGCUGA